rnacentral:sRNA from 2 species
AAAAACGUUUUCUAGGGUUCCGCAAUCGCAAGAUUGGUCUGGUCCAAGAGAAAACGCACAGCCAAGUGGCUGUGACACGGAGGGAUAAAAGCCUGGGAGAU